UACGGGGGGGGGCAAGCGUUGUUCGGAAUUACUGGGCGUAAAGGGCUCGUAGGCGGCCAACUAAGUCAGACGUGAAAUCCCUCGGCUUAACCGGGGAACUGCGUCUGAUACUGGAUGGCUUGAGGUUGGGAGAGGGAUGCGGAAUUCCAGGUGUAGCGGUGAAAUGCGCAGAUAUCAGGAAGAACACCCGUGGCUAAGGCGGCUCUCUAGUACGGUACUGACGCUGAGACGCGAAAGCGUGGGGAGCGAACAGG
rnacentral:rRNA from 1 species